rnacentral:rRNA from 1 species
AGCGAACGCUGGCGGCAGGCCUAACACAUGCAAGUCGAACGAAGCCUUCGGGCUUAGUGGCGGACGGGUGCGUAACACGUGGGAACGUACCUUUUGGUUCGGAACAACUCAGGGAAACUUGAGCUAAUACCGGAUGAGCCCUUAGGGGGAAAGAUUUAUCGCCGAAAGAGCGGCCCGCGUUAGAUUAGCUAGUUGGUGAGGUAAAGGCUCACCAAGGCUACGAUCUAUAGCUGGUCUGAGAGGAUGAUCAGCCACACUGGGACUGAGACACGGCCCAGACUCCUACGGGAGGCAGCAGUGGGGAAUCUUGCGCAAUGGGCGAAAGCCUGACGCAGCCAUGCCGCGUGAAUGAUGAAGGUCUUAGGAUUGUAAAAUUCUUUUACCAGGGACGAUAAUGACGGUACCUGGAGAAAAAGCCCCGGCUAACUUCGUGCCAGCCGCCGCGGUAAAAC